rnacentral:misc_RNA from 1 species
UGGUUCUGGCAUCGAUGAAGAACGCAGCGAAAUGCGAUAAGUAAUGUGAAUUGCAGAAUUCAGUGAAUCAUCGAAUCUUUGAACGCAUAUUGCGCCCUUUGGCAUUCCGAAGGGCAUACCUGUUCGAGCGUCAUUACACCCCUCAAACAAAGGGUUGCAAAAGACCUGUUUGGCGUUGGGCAAUGCCGGGAGGCAUGCCUGAAAUUCAGCGAUGGUGCAUUAAACCUCAGGCGCACAAAUGUCGUUAUAGCGGUGAAAUGCUAUCAGUCUUCUGAUUAAUUUCUAAAUGUUGACCUCGGAUCAGGUAGGAAUACCCGCUGA